UACAUGCAAGUCGAACGAGAUCUUCGGAUCUAGUGGCGCACGGGUGCGUAACGCGUGGGAAUCUGCCCUUGGGUUCGGAAUAACUUCUGGAAACGGAAGCUAAUACCGGAUGAUGACGUAAGUCCAGAGAUUUAUCGCCCAAGGAUGAGCCCCCGUAGGAUUAACUAGUUGGUGGGGUAAAGGCCCACCAAGGCGACGAUCCUUAGCUGGUCUGAGAGGAUGAUCAGCCACACUGGGACUGAGACACGGCCCAGACUCCUACGGGAGGCAGCAGUAGGGAAUAUUGGACAAUGGGCGAAAGCCUGAUCCAGCAAUGCCGCGUGAGUGAUGAAGGCCUUAGGGUUGUAAAGCUCUUUUACCCGGGAUGAUAAUGACAGUACCGGGAGAAUAAGCUCCGGCUAACUCCGUGCCAGCAGCCGCGGUAAUACGGAGGGAGCUAGCGUUGUUCGGAAUUACUGGGCGUAAAGCGCACGUAGGCGGCUAUUCAAGUCAGAGGUGAA
rnacentral:rRNA from 1 species